rnacentral:lncRNA from 1 species
CGAUUUUGUUACUUUGAGAUCCUUAAUCUCACGUGGUUAUAAUAAUCGUGAGACUUUUUAAUUUUGGUUAUAGUGGUUGAAAUAAAAGAUGAAGACUUAGUUGAGGCCAAGCAAUAUAUUUUCCUCCAUGUCAUAGCUCUGUGUUGUGCCAGGAACUCCAUGUAGUAUUUGAUAGAAUGAAGGAAAAAUAUGUUUCAACAUUUGUCAUGUAAAGGGAAAUCUAGUUCUUAAGAUGAUAUCAUCCUGAUAAGAUAAGUUGAGAUUCAGGGCAGUUGAUAAUGGAAACACCUGAGGUCUCUGAAUGACAGGCAACUCUUUUUCAGAAAUAAAUAGAUUAGGAUCCUACAUUCCUACUGGAUAUGAGUUGUAAAAUUACAAGUCUAAAACGUAUUGGGUAUGUUGAACAACAAGUAUCUCGUAUUUCUCUAGACUCUGCCCAUAUCUCUUUUCUUGAUCAAAGCCUCAUUUUGAAGUAAGAAAAGCUUCUUGAAAACCUUGACAACCAGCUCCAAGUUUUUCUUCUUUGGAGAAACAGAUUCCAAGUGACAUCUACUGCAUUCCUCUAUGGCUUCUUCCUUAUUCUCAGGUUCAGAAUCUGAGCCACUGCUUUCUGCAGAAGAUAUGCUCUGAUGAAUCAUUUCCUCAUUGAAAUCUUCCCACAACAUGUCCAUCUUCUCUUCUUCUGCUGCUGCUGCUGCAUUCCUGGCUCUCUUAUUCAUUUCACAAACCUUUGAGAAACUGUUCCUGAAAAUCUGUCCACUUGUUCCAUUUUCGAGGUCGAAAUCUGUUCUGUUGGAAUGAACAAGAGAGGAAAUUCUCCACAAAGAUGGUAUAACUGUCAAAUGCUCGGGAUCAACUCUAGGGAAGGUAAAAUCUUCCGUUUUCAUACUUGAAGAUGAUGGUUAAGUGGAAGAAUGAAACAUUAUUUAUUGAGGGAUUGAAUCAUCCGAGCUACCGCCGGAUUAUGCGGAGGUUAUGCUUUGAUUGUUGAUAGCUACUUGUAACCCCUGCCUGCC